GCAAUUCGAACGAAAACUUCGGGUUUAGUGGGCGCACGGGUGGCGUCACGCGCGGGGAAUUUGCCCUUUUGGUACGGAAAACUUCAGGGAGAUUUGAGCUCAUCACCGUAUAAUGACUUUCGGUCCAAGAUUCCAUCGCCUGAGGAUGAGCCCGCGUCGGAUUAGCUAGUUGGUGAGGUAUAAGCUCACCAAGGCGACGAUCCGUAGCUGGUCUGAGAGGAUGACCAGCCACACUCGGGAUGAGACACGGCCCAGACUCCUACGGGAGGCAGCAGUGGGGAAUAUUGGACAAUGGGCGAAAGCCUGAUCCAGCAAUGCCGCGUGAGUGAUGAAGGCCUUAGGGUCGUAAAGCUCUUCUACCCGGGAUGAUAAUGACAGUACCGGGAGAAUAAGCCCCGGCUAACUCCGUGCCAGCAGCCGCGGUAAUACGGAGGGGGCUAGCGUUGUUCGGAAUUACUGGGCGUAAAGCGCGCGUAGGCGGCUUUUGUAAGUUAGAGGUGAAAGCCCGAAGCUCAACUUUCGGAGUUUGCCUUUAAGACUGCAUCGCUAGAAUCAUGGAGAGGUUAGUGGAAUUUCCGAGUGUAGAGGUGAAAUUUCGUAGAUAUUCGGAAGAACACCAGUGGCGAAGGCGACUAACUGGACAUGUAUUGACGCUGAGGUGCGAAAGCGUGGGAGCAAACAGGAUUAGAUACCCUGGUAGUCCACGCCGUAAACGAUGAUGAC
rnacentral:rRNA from 1 species